ACCAACUGUAAAUUUCUUGUCUAAGCAGAGAGCCAGCGACUAUUUUCAGCAGUCAUUGGGCAGGACAGCCGGUUUCUACAUGGAAAAACAAGGAAAUACAUGAUAAACAACACAACAAACAUACACAACUAACUGGAUGGUCAGCAUAAGGAUAUUGGAGCCAACACCUGGUUACCAUGGAAUAAUCUAUCCAAUGCAGAGCAGAAUGACACAGACAUUGCAGGUCAGUCUAUAAUCCAACUCUCAUCUGAGGCAUUCUGAGACAGUUUCAAAUCUGCUUGGAGGAGAGCAGCAAAGCAAUCUUCCUUGGCAGCGCUCUGUUGCUUUCAUCACACAAAGCCCUCAGCCCAGCAUGAAUUACAUCCACAUCGAGUCUGCCUACUGCUUCCCACCCGACAGAGUGGAGAGG